AGUAAAAGUCGUAACAAGGUCUCCGUAGGUGAACCUGCGGAGGGAUCAUUACACAACAAAAUAUGAAGGUCUGGCUUCGCGGCCGGCUGAAGUAUUUUUUUUCACCCAUGUCUUUUGCGCACUUGUUGUUUCCUGGGCGGGUUCGCCCGCCACCAGGACCAAACCAUAAACCUUUUUUUUAUGUAGUUGCAAUCAGCGUCAGUAAAAACAAUGUAAUUAUUACAACUUUCAACAACGGAUCUCUUGGUUCUGGCAUCGAUGAAGAACGCAGCGAAAUGCGAUACGUAGUGUGAAUUGCAGAAUUCAGUGAAUCAUCGAAUCUUUGAACGCACAUUGCGCCCUUUGGUAUUCCAAAGGGCAUGCCUGUUCGAGCGUCAUUUGUACCUUCAAGCUUUGCUUGGUGUUGGGCGUUUUUGUCUCUCGUUCUCGGGAGACUCGCCUUAAAACGAUUGGCAGCCGGCCUACUGGUUUCGGAGCGCAGCACAUAUUUUUGCGCUUUGUAUCAGGAGAAAAGGACGGUAAUCCAUCAAGACUACAUUUUUUUUUAACUUUUGACCUCGGAUCAGGUAGGGAUACCCGCUGAACUUAAGCAUAUCAAUAAGCGGAGGAAAAGAAACCAACAGGGAUUGCCCCAGUAACG
rnacentral:rRNA from 1 species